rnacentral:rRNA from 1 species
GAGUUUGAUCCUGGCUCAGAUUGAACGCUGGCGACAUGCCUUACACAUGCAAGUCGAACGGCAGCACGGGAGCUUGCUCCUGGUGGCGAGUGGCGAACGGGUGAGUAAUGCAUCGGAACGUAUCCUGGAGUGGGGGAUAACGUAGCGAAAGUUACGCUAAUACCGCAUAUUCUGUGAGCAGGAAAGCGGGGGACCUUCGGGCCUCGCGCUCUUGGAGCGGCCGAUGUCGGAUUAGCUAGUUGGUGAGGUAAAGGCUCACCAAGGCGACGAUCCGUAGCAGGUCUGAGAGGAUGAUCUGCCACACUGGAACUGAGACACGGUCCAGACUCCUACGGGAGGCAGCAGUGGGAAUUUUGGACAAUGGGGGCAACCCUGAUCCAGCCAUGCCGCGUGAGUGAAGAAGGCCUCGGUU